rnacentral:rRNA from 1 species
CAGGCCUAACACAUGCAAGUCGAGCGGACUUAUCCUUCGGGAUAGGUUAGCGGCGGACGGGUGAGUAACACGUAGGCAACCUGCCUGUAAGAUCGGGAUAACUACCGGAAACGGUAGCUAAGACCGGAUAGCUGGUUUCUCCGCAUGGGGGAAUCAUGAAACACGGGGCAACCUGUGGCUUACGGAUGGGCCUGCGGCGCAUUAGCUAGUUGGUGGGGUAACGGCCCACCAAGGCGACGAUGCGUAGCCGACCUGAGAGGGUGAUCGGCCACACUGGGACUGAGACACGGCCCAGACUCCUACAGGAGGCAGCAGUAGGGAAUCUUCCGCAAUGGGCGCAAGCCUGACGGAGCAACGCCGCGUGAGUGAUGAAGGUUUUCGGAUCGUAAAGCUCUGUUGCCAAGGAAGAACGCCUCGGAGAGUAACUGCUCUGAGGGUGACGGUACUUGAGAAGAAAGCCCCGGCUAACUACGUGCCAGCAGCCGCGGUAAUACGUAGGGGGCAAGCGUUGUCCGGAAUUAUUGGGCGUAAAGCGCGCGCAGGCGGUCUUUUAAGUUUGGUGUUUAAGCCCGGGGCUCAACCCCGGUUCGCACUGAAAACUGGGAGACUUGAGUGCAGGAGAGGAAAGCGGAAUUCCACGUGUAGCGGUGAAAUGCGUAGAGAUGUGGAGGAACACCAGUGGCGAAGGCGGCUUUCUGGACUGUAACUGACGCUGAGGCGCGAAAGCGUGGGGAGCAAACAGGAUUAGAU